CCGGGAGCCAACACAAGCCCUGGAGGUGAAGAAAACACUGCAGGGCCACAGCAAGCCAAGAAGGGAGAAGAGGACGCAGGGAAAGGCUGUGCAUUUUUAGAAAGCAGAUCUGAGGAUUUCACUAAGCUGUCGGGAAGGAAGUGGGGAAGACACGGCAGGAGCAUUGUAUGUUGCUGUCUCUUAUGGAGCCUUCCCUACUAGAAGUCUCUCUAGAGAAGGAUCAGCCCACCUCUCUUAUUCUGUUACUAAUGGUCAUUUCUUCUGCCCGGAAUGCCACCCUCAUUGUUACCCCUCACCUCAUCCACACAUGCAAAUAUCACCAGACUUCAAGGCUAACGUCAAUGCAAUCUCCUUGGUAAACUCUGCUGGGAUCUCCCUUCUCCAGGCUCAGCCAGAAGAAAUCCCUUUAUCCUCUGAACUCCCAUGGUGCUUCACCUGAACCUUCACAUCAGAUCAAAAUGAGGCCUGAAUCCUGAGAGAUCAAUCUGAAUCCUAGGGAAAUCUAUCAAGGGGAAAGCUAAUGAACGAACAUCGGAACAGCGGCGCUUGCCCAUGAACUAGACGGAUGUGGAUUUCAGCCACGCUGUAUUACCUUCCGGUCGUGAGUCUUUGGGGCACCAGCCAUUGGACGUAGAGCACACCCUGCGCCUGGGAUGAUUUCAUCUUGAGAUCCUUAACUAAUUACAUCUACAAAGACCCAAUUUCCAAAUAGGGUUCCCUUCUGAGGGUCCAGUGAAGAUGAAUUUGGGGGGAUACUGUUCAACCAACUGGACCUAGAAAGAUAUCUAAGGUCCAUUAUUUAGACUCACAAGUCUCUGAGAAAAUGCGUAAUACGUGAACCAAGAAAAUUCAGCCAGGAAAGAAAAGGACUAAGAGAGGGUAGCAAGAUCUUUCCUUUCCCUGCGUGGCUGUGCUGAGGCGGAGGACACAGAGACCACAUGCACUGUGGGAGGUGGCAUCUGAACAACGAGGAGAAAUUACAGGAAGAUACCUGACUACCAAAAAACAAAACAAAACAAAAACUGGGGCACCCGGGUGGCUCAGUGGGUUAAGUGUCUGCUUUCGGCUCAGGUCAUGAUCUCUAAGUCCUGGGAAAGUCCCAGAAGCCUGCUUCUCCCUCUUCCUCUGCCGCUCCCCCGGCUUGUGCUCUCUCAAAUAAAUCAAUAAAAUCUUUAAAAACAAAAAAAACAAACAAAACAAAAAAAACCACUUCCCAUCAUAGCAAACUCAACUCACUUCUUAAGACACAGCUUGCAUACCUCCUUCUUGACUCUCCCAGAUGGAGAUGAUGAUGCCCUUCCCACAACCCUGUGUGGCCCAACCACACUGCUGUGGCCUGAAUGUUUGUGGCCACCCAAAAUUCAGAAGUUCCAAAACUAAUGUGCGAAGUGAUGGUAUGAAGAAGAGGGGCCCAUCAGAGGGGGUGAGGCCAUGAGGUGGAACCCUCAUGAAUGGGUUCCGUGCCCUGACAUAAAAGGCCUCAGAGCAAGCUCACACUUCCACCAUGAACAUACAAGAAGUCUUCAAUCCCCAAGAGGGCCCUCACCUGAGCACGCAGACACCCUGAUCUCAGACUUCUAGCCUCCAUGCCUGAGAAAUAAAGUUCUCCAGUUUCUAAGCCAUCCUGUCUGGGGUAUUUUGUGAUAGCCACCUGAACAGACGAAGACAGAUAUGUUUCCCAAACCUGCCUGAUCAUAAGAAUCCCUUGGGGAUGCUCAUUUAAAAAAUACUUGUUUCUGGCUUUACCAAGCCCUACCGAAUCAGCUACAGGGUCCUUACUGACAGCGAGGCUUGGUAAAGCUGGCCUAGUGAUUGACACAUGGUUGAUAUGGAGAAGAAGAGUAUCCCUGAUUGAUCUCUUUCUUUCCCGUCUUUUAUAUAUGCCAAUUUAGCCUGUUGGUGAUAAGGUUCAGGGCAGACCACCCCAGAAUAUGACACUUCGGCAUACUGAGUUUUUUGAAUUAAAGUUACUUGAGAAACAGCUGGCACGAUGACAUUCUGACCCUCCUUUCUGUCCCCCUGAAAGCAAAAAAUAAAUCUCCCACAUAACACGUACUCUCCCUACAGCAAGAGGCAGAAAGACAUCCCAGACAUCCCUACAACCAGACAUAGGGAAUUCAGGGCCAAGAAGGCUAUGUAUUUAAAAAAAAAAAAAAAAAGAUGCUUGGUUCCUUUACUAAUUUUUUUUAUUUGUAUUUUUUAUUUGUAUCCUUUUUUUGGUCAGUUCUUCAUAAAAUUAUUGUCUCUUUGUCUAAAAGCAUAUAAACAGUCUGUUUUGGUCACUUCUUGGGUCUCCUAUUUUGGGGGCCCCUGUAUAUAUGAAAUUAAACUUUUCUUUUUUUGCCUAUUAAUCUAAUUAAUUAUUAGGCCACCCAAAAGAACCAAGAGGAGUAAGGGGAAACUUUCCCCUCCCCAACUCUGGUGAAAGCUCAGAGUCUGAAUCCACCAAAUCUGAGUUUUAAAUCCUAGGAUGACUCUUCCAAUUUUGUGGCCUUAGACUAAUUACUUUAUUCUGUAUUUAGAAAAUGUGGCUGAUAAGCAAUUCUACCUCAUAUGUUUGUGUUGAUAAAACA